GCGGGCGUAGCUCAAUGGCAGAGCAAAAGUUUCCCAAACUUUAGACGGGGGUUCGAUUCCCCUCGCCCGCU
rnacentral:tRNA from 1 species